AUUUGGCUUCAGGAAGUCCAAUUGCCGCGUCUUCAGCAAGUCUGACCAAAACAAGUUCAAGCACAUGCCCGCUAGUGUCCUGCAUUUCUUAUCCUGCGUGCCCCGAAGAUUCCCUCGAUUUCUGUUUGCUUCCUCCAUAUUCAUCAUGUAUUUCUUGUAAUCGUGAUCUGAGCCACAAUCAUGAUGCCAUCAAAGUGACUGUAGUUACCUUGACUGGUUCAAAGAAUGGCAGAAAAACAACCCUAAGAUGUCGCCAUUGCAGCCUAACAUACCGUUAUGAUUGUUACGGUAACCCAACAGUCGGCUACAAGCUGUAUAAGAAAAGCAGGCAGUUUGUGAAGGCAAGCAAUACCUUCUAUGUUGAACGGCAAUUGUUCGAGCUGCAGUGUAGCCUGGCAAACCAUGCUUGGGUCAGUUUCGUUGGAUUUGCAGAAUCGUAUAAUGACACAUUCAACCUAACUCGACACACAGGCCUCAACUACAAGCAAGUGUCCUCUGCAUUUUUCAGUGGUGAACUGGAAAAUGAACUUCGUGCAUUAACCGUUUAGACAUGUUUAACCUCAUGAGAGUGGACAGUGACCAAGAAAAAGUUCUGGUGGAAGUAGAGAAGCUGAGGAGGAAACAGCCCUAUCCGCAUGAGAACUGCCACCCAGCCUGCCAAGCCAAAGGUUGUGGACGUGUUUUUGCAGUGGAUGGAAUUUGGAAGUUGAGAUUUCCUCAUUGCAUGUAUAAAGUCAAGAGUGUGGUCUCAAAAAUAGAGAUCCCAGGUCUCCCCGAUGUCUGCACUAAUGUUCCACUUCGUGGCAAAGCCUUUUGCCAAGCACAUUGUACAGUGGCAGAAAAGUCUGACAUCCCCACUGGAAUCCGUGAAUUCCUAAAGCACUGUGGUGUGCAAGUUGCUGACACCAUUAAAUCAGAUACUGGAGAAGGCAGAACUCGGACACAUUUAGAUGUUGAAGACAGAGGUAUGCAAUUUUUACUUUUCCUUUUUUAUUUGUUGUUUUGGUUCACUUCAUAAUGCAAUCGUGCUUGUUUUUACCACCUCACUGUUAUGAAAUGAUUUGUUUAUUUGGCCAUUGUAUAAACAAUUUAAGCAGUUUCCUUUCAGUGCAU